AGAGUUUGAUYMUGGCUCAGGANGAACGCUGGCGGCAUGCCUAAUACAUGCAAGUCGAACGAACCAUCCUGAUGAUUGAAGCUUGCUUCAUGAUUCAGACCUUGGUGAGUGGCGGACGGGUGAGUAACACGUGGGUAACCUGCCCAGAAGUGGGGGAUAACAUUUGGAAACAAGUGCUAAUACCGCAUAACAACUUAGAUCACAUGAUCUUUGUUUAAAAGAUGGUUUUGCUAUCUCUUCUGGAUGGACCCGCGGCGUAUUAGCUAGUUGGUGAGGUAAUAGCUCACCAAGGCGAUGAUACGUAGCCGACCUGAGAGGGUAAUCGGCCACAUUGGGACUGAGACACGGCCCAAACUCCUACGGGAGGCAGCAGUAGGGAAUCUUCCACAAUGGACGAAAGUCUGAUGGAGCAAUGCCGCGUGAGUGAAGAAGGUUUUCGGAUCGUAAAACUCUGUUGUUGAAGAAGAAUAUAUGUGAGAGUAACUGUUCACGUACUGACGGUAUUCAACCAGAAAGCCACGGCUAACUACGUGCCAGCAGCCGCGGUAAUACGUAGGUGGCAAGCGUUGUCCGGAUUUAUUGGGCGUAAAGAGAAUGUAGGCGGUUUAUUAAGUUUGAAGUGAAAGCCCUCGGCUCAACCGAGGAAGUGCUUCGAAAACUGGUAAACUUGAGUGCAGAAGAGGAAAGUGGAACUCCAUGUGUAGCGGUGGAAUGCGUAGAUAUAUGGAAGAACACCAGUGGCGAAGGCGGCUUUCUGGUCUGUAACUGACGCUGAGAUUCGAAAGCAUGGGUAGCAAACAGGAUUAGAUACCCUGGUAGUCCAUGCCGUAAACGAUGAGUGCUAAGUGUUGGAGGGUUUCCGCCCUUCAGUGCUGCAGCUAACGCAUUAAGCACUCCGCCUGGGGAGUACGAUCGCAAGAUUGAAACUCAAAGGAAUUGACGGGGGCCCGCACAAGCGGUGGAGCAUGUGGUUUAAUUCGAAGCAACGCGAAGAACCUUACCAGGUCUUGACAUACCAUGAAAAGCUUAGAGAUAAGUCUUUCCCUUCGGGGACAUGGAUACAGGUGGUGCAUGGUUGUCGUCAGCUCGUGUCGUGAGAUGUUGGGUUAAGUCCCGCAACGAGCGCAACCCUUAUUAUCAGUUGCCAGCAUUCAGUUGGGCACUCUGGUGAGACUGCCGGUGAUAAACCGGAGGAAGGUGGGGACGACGUCAAAUCAUCAUGCCCCUUAUGACCUGGGCUACACACGUGCUACAAUGGUCGGUACAACGUGCUGCGAACUCGCGAGGGCAAGCAAAUCACUUAAAACCGAUCUCAGUUCGGAUUGUAGGCUGCAACUCGCCUACAUGAAGCUGGAAUCGCUAGUAAUCGCGGAUCAGCAUGCCGCGGUGAAUACGUUCCCGGGCCUUGUACACACCGCCCGUCACACCAUGAGAGUUUGUAACACCCAAAGUCGGUGGGGUAACCCUUCGGGGAACUAGCCGCCUAAGGUGGGACAAAUGAUUAGGGUGAAGUCGUAACAAGGUAGCCGUAGGAGAACCUGCGGCUGGAUCACCUCCUUUNU
rnacentral:rRNA from 1 species